UUUUGUUUUUGCUUUUGCAUAAAAACCAUGCGGUUAAUGUGUGGAAGCAGCAAACACACGCACACUUUUAUAGGUGAAUGUUUAAUUCCUGUUGAUUUUUCUUCCGUGACUGUCCCUCUGGAAUACUGGCAGUAAAAGCACACGGUCCGGUCAGUGGUUGGCUUUCAGCUUUCACGAGUAACUUUUCUUCUCCACGUGUCUGACUUCUUUCUUUGUCUUAACCUUGUAAGCUUCGCCCUGUUUUCUUGUGAUGACGUUGCCUUCUUCGUCGGUAAACUGCUCCUCUGUUACAGAUUCACCAGGAAUGUUUUUU
rnacentral:lncRNA from 1 species